rnacentral:rRNA from 1 species
CCCUUAGAUGUUCUGGGCAGCACGCGCGCUACAAUGGUCUUCGCAAACGGAUGCAUUCUCGAAGGAGAAUGCCAAUCUUGGAAUCUAUGCCUUGGUCGGGACAGUUGCUUGCAAUUUUUCGACUCGAACCAGGAAUUCCUUGUAAUCGUGAUUCAUCACAUCACGAUGAAUACGUCCCUGCCCUUUGUACACACCGCCCGUCGCUCCUACCGGUCGAAGAGUUAGGUGAAUUGUUUUGAUCGAUAAGAUUUGACUAUGGUCAACUCUCGUUGUGAAAUUCUGUGAAUCUGACUGUUUAGAGGAAGGAAAAGUCGUAACA